rnacentral:rRNA from 1 species
AUUGAACGCUGGCGGCAGGCCUAACACAUGCAAGUCGAACGGUAACAGGAAGCAGCUUGCUGCUUCGCUGACGAGUGGCGGACGGGUGAGUAAUGUCUGGGAAACUGCCUGAUGGAGGGGGAUAACUACUGGAAACGGUAGCUAAUACCGCAUAACGUCGCAAGACCAAAGAGGGGGACCUUAGGGCCUCUUGCCAUCGGAUGUGCCCAGAUGGGAUUAGCUAGUAGGUGGGGUAACGGCUCACCUAGGCGACGAUCCCUAGCUGGUCUGAGAGGAUGACCAGCCACACUGGAACUGAGACACGGUCCAGACUCCUACGGGAGGCAGCAGUGGGGAAUAUUGCACAAUGGGCGCAAGCCUGAUGCAGCCAUGCCGCGUGUAUGAAGAAGGCCUUCGGGUUGUAAAGUACUUUCAGCGGGGAGGAAGGGAGUAAAGUUAAUUCCUUUGCUCAUUGACGUUACCCGCAGAAGAAGCACCGGCUAACUCCGUG